rnacentral:rRNA from 1 species
GCAGCAUGUCGCGUGAGUGAAGAAGGCCCUUGGGUCGUAAAGCUCUUUUAUGGGGGAAGAUGAUGACGGUACCCCAAGAAUAAGCACCGGCUAACUAUGUGCCAGCAGCCGCGGUAAUACAUAGGGUGCGAGCGUUGUUCGGAAUUACUGGGCGUAAAGGGCGCGCAGGCGGAAUAGUAAGUCGGAGGUGAAAGCCCGGGGCUCAACCCCGGAGGGUCUUUCGAAACUGCUAAUCUAGAGAGGGUCAGGGGCCGGCAGAAUUCCUGGUGUAGAGGUGAAAUUCAUAUAUAUCAGGAGGAAUACCGGUGGCGAAGGCGGCCGGCUGGGGCCACUCUGACGCUGAGGCGCGAAAGCGUGGGGAGCAAACAGGAUUAAAUACCCUGGUAGUCCACGCCGUAAACGAUGAGCACUGGACGUCCGG